ACUCAAAGGAAUUGACGGGGGCCCGCACAAGCGGUGGAGCAUGUGGUUCAAUUCGACGCAACGCGAAGAACCUUACCCAGGCUUGAACAGCGAGUGACCACCUACGAAAGUAGGCUUCCGCAAGGACACUCGUAGAGGUGCUGCAUGGCUGUCGUCAGCUCGUGUCGUGAGAUGUUGGGUUAAGUCCCGCAACGAGCGCAACCCUUGUUUGCUGUUGCCAUCAGGUUAAGCUGGGCACUCUGCAAAGACUGCCGGUGAUAAACCGGAGGAAGGUGGGGAUGACGUCAAGUCAGCAUGGCCUUUAUGUCUGGGGCUACACACGUGCUACAAUGGCCGGUACAAACCGUCGCGAGCCCGCAAGGGGGAGCUAAUCGGAGAAAGCCGGUCUCAGUUCGGAUAGCAGGCUGCAACUCGCCUGCUUGAAGUUGGAAUCGCUAGUAAUCGCGGAUCAGCACGCCGCGGUGAAUACGUUCCCGGGCCUUGUACACACCGCCCGU
rnacentral:rRNA from 1 species